GGGAUUGCCUCAGUAACGGCGAGUGAAGCGGCAAGAGCUCAAAUUUGAAAUCUGGCCCCCGCGGGGCCCGAGUUGUAAUUUGCAGAAGCUGUUUCGGGCGCGGCCCCGGUCUAAGUUCCUUGGAACAGGACGUCAAAGAGGGUGAGAAUCCCGUCUGCGACUGGGUGUCCGCGCCUCGGUGAAACGCUUUCGACGAGUCGAGUUGUUUGGGAAUGCAGCUCCAAAUGGGUGGUAUAUUUCAUCUAAAGCUAAAUACCGGCCAGAGACCGAUAGCGCACAAGUAGAGUGAUCGAAAGAUGAAAAGCACUUUGGAAAGAGAGUUAAACAGUACGUGAAAUUGUUGAAAGGGAAGCGCUUGCGAUCAGACUUGCGCCCGGGCGAUCAGCGGGGGUUCUCCCCCGUGCACUCGCGCGGGCGCAGGCCAGCAUCGGUUCUCGUGGCGGGACAAAGGCCCUGGGAACGUAGCCCCCCUCGGGGGGUGUUAUAGCCCAGGGCGCCAUGCCGCCCACGGGGACCGAGGACCGCGCUCCGGCUAGGAUGCUGGCGUAAUGGUCGCAAGCGACCCGUCUUGAAACACGGACCAAGGAGUCUAACAUCUAUGCGAGUGUUUGGGUGGCAAACCCAUGCGCGGAAUGAAAGUGAACGGAGGUGAGAGCCCGCCCGGGCGCAUCAUCGACCGAUCCUGAUGUCUUCGGAUGGAUUUGAGUAAGAGCAUGGCUGUUGGGACCCGAAAGAUGGUGAACUAUGCGUGAAUAGGGUGAAGCCAGAGGAAACUCUGGUGGAGGCUCGCAGCGGUUCUGACGUGCAAAUCGAUCGUCAAAUUUGCGUAUAGGGGCGAAAGAC
rnacentral:rRNA from 1 species